GACGAACCGAGCGAACGUUGUUCGGAAUUACUGGGCGUAAAGGGCCAGUAGGCGGCCGACUAAGUCCGACGUGAAAUCCCCAGGCUUAACCUGGGAACUGCGUCGGAUACUGGUUGGCUUGAAUUCGGGAGAGGGAUGCGGAAUUCCAGGUGUAGCGGUGAAAUGCGUAGAUAUCUGGAGGAACACCGGUGGCGAAGGCGGCAUCCUGGACCGGUAUUGACGCUGAUGAGCGAAAGCCAGGGGAGCAAAGCGGG
rnacentral:rRNA from 1 species